UACAGAGGGUGCGAGCGUUAAUCGGAAUUACUGGGCGUAAAGCGUGCGUAGACGGCUAUCUAAGUCGGGUGUGAAAGCCCCGGGCUCAACCUGGGAAUUGCAUUCGAGACUGAAUAGCUAGGGUGCGGUAGAGGGAAGCGGAAUUUCCGGUGUAGCGGUGAAAUGCGUAGAUAUCGGAAGGAACAUCAGUGGCGAAAGCGGCUUCCUGGACCAGCACCGAACGUCAGGCACGAAAGCGUGGGGAGCAAACAGG
rnacentral:rRNA from 1 species